rnacentral:rRNA from 1 species
GUGCCAGCAGCCGCGGUAAAACGUAGGAGGCGAGCGUUAUCCGGAGUUACUGGGCGUAAAGCGCGUGUAGGUGGCUUGUUACGUCUGCUGUGAAAGCGCCCGGCUUAACCGGGACGAUGCGGUAGAUACGGGCAAGCUUGAGGGUGACAGAGGAGCGUAGAAUUCCGGGUGUAGUGGUGAAAUGCGUAGAGAUCCGGAGGAAUACCAGUGGCGCAAGCGGCGCUCUGGGUCGAGCCUGACACUGAGACGCGAAGGCAUGGGGAGCGAACGGGAUUAGAAACCCGCGUAGUCC